rnacentral:misc_RNA from 1 species
GAUGAAGAACGCAGUGAAAUGCGAUAAGUAAUGUGAAUUGCAGAAUUCAGUGAAUCAUCGAAUCUUUGAACGCACAUUGCGCCCGCCAGUAUUCUGGCGGGCAUGCCUGUUCGAGCGUCAUUUCAACCAUCAAGCCCCAGGCUUGUGUUGGAGCCCUGCGGCUGCCGCAGCCUCCCAAAACCAGUGGCGGGCUCGCUAUCACACCGAGUGCAGUAGUUUACUCUUCGCUCAGGGCGUGUGGCGGGUGCUAGCCGUAAAACCCCCAACCUCUCAAGGUUGACCUCGGAUCAGGUAGGAAUACCCGCUGAACUUAAGCAUAUCAAUAAGCGGAGGA